GAUGAACGCUGACAGAAUGCUUAACGCAUGCAAGUCUUUGGCGAAGCUGUGCUCGCACAGCCUAGCCAAGGCGGACGGGUGAGUAACGCGUAAGGAACUUGCCCUGCAGUCAGGGAUAACAGACGGAAACGACUGAUAAGACCUGGUAAAGUCAGGCGGACUCAUGUCCAGCCUGAUGAAAAGAGAUGCUGCAGGAGAGCCUUGCGUCCUAUUAGCUUGUUGGUGGGGUAACGGCCCACCAAGGCGAUGAUAGGUAGCCGGCCUGAGAGGGUGGACGGCCACAAGGGGACUGAGAUACGGCCCUUACUCCUACGGGAGGCAGCAGUGGGGAAUAUUGGACAAUGGGGGCAACCCUGAUCCAGCAAUUCUGUGUGCACGAUGAAGGUUUUCGGAGUGUAAAGUGCUUUCAGCAGGGAAGAAAAAAAUGACGGUACCUGCAGAAGAAGCGACGGCUAAAUACGUG
rnacentral:rRNA from 1 species